AUGUUGCCUGGACUGGGGAGAGACCGUGAUCAAAAAGGCCAUUCGUUUUCCCAGGACGAGGCUAGCCCAUUGCACUGCGGGUGUGCUGAUUCCUGCAAUGUCCUCAAACGCGGGAUACUCGACUACAAAAUUUGUGGUAGUGGGGGACUGCGUUCGUGUUUUUUUUUU